rnacentral:hammerhead_ribozyme from 1 species
GCACUCUUGAAGAGUCCCAUAAUAGGACGAAACGGCCGUCCAGUGC